rnacentral:rRNA from 1 species
CCUACGGGAGGCAGCAGUGAGGAAUAUUGGUCAAUGGGCGGAAGCCUGAACCAGCCAAGUCGCGUGCAGGAUGACGGCCCUACGGGUUGUAAACUGCUUUUAUCCGGGAAUAACGCGCCUUACGCGUAGGGCUUCGCAUGUACCGUAUGAAUAAGGACCGGCUAAUUCCGUGCCAGCAGCCGCGGUAAUACGGAAGGUCCGGGCGUUAUCCGGAUUUAUUGGGGUUAAAGGGUGCGUAGGCCGCAAGUCAAGCGUGCUGUGAAAUGUACGGGCUCAACCCGCGCCUCGUGGCGGAAACUGGCGUGCUUGAGUGCGCGGAAAGCAGGCGGAAUGCGUCGUGUAGCGGUGAAAUGCUUAGAUAUGACGAAGAACCCCGAUUGCGAAGGCAGCUUGCUGCAGCGGAACUGACGCUGAUGCACGAAAGCGCGGGUAUCGAACAGGAUUAGAUACCCGGGUAGUC